rnacentral:tRNA from 1 species
GAGCCCGUGGCACAAUGGUAGAGCGUUCGACUCAGAUACGAAAGAUCGCGGGUUCGAAUCCCAGGUUUG